UGGUUCUCCAGGUGCCAACUCCAAUGCAGCAGGGGAAACAACAGACCUAGGAACUACUUAAAAAUGCAAAGUCUUGGGCCCUAUCCCAAAUCUACAGAACCAUGGACUCUGGGGAUGGAAUCUAGCACUUACGCUUUAACAAGCCCCGCAGGGGAUGCUGAUGCUUGCUGAAGUUUGGGACUAUUAAUUUGAGAGCUGCCAAUUAUGUAAAGAUAUUCCAGGAUCAGAGGCAACUGGAGGUAAAAGCCUCUGGCCCCCAGCCUACCUACCAAUAAGAAGGUGUCCUAGCAGAAGAGGCACUGGCCACAUGUAACAGCAGCCUGUCAAAUGAUGGAUGAAGACACAAGGUGAAAUCUACCACUGACAUUCUCUCAAGAAAACCUUGUACCAGCUUACCAGGACACUGUUGCCUCAGGUGAAGCAAAGAACUCGCAGUGUAAGAAAGCACUGUACCCAACCACUGUCGCAUAGUUCUCUCCAUCUUCGGU